UACGUAGGGGGGCUAGCGUUGUCCGGAAUCAUUGGGCGUAAAGCGCGUGUAGGCGGCCCGAUAAGUCCGCUGUGAAAGUCCAGGGCUCAACCCUGGGAUGCCGGUGGAUACUGUCGGGCUCGAGUCCGGAAGAGGCGAGUGGAAUUCCUGGUGUAGCGGUGAAAUGACGCAGAGUAUCAGGAGGAACACCAAUGGCGAAGGCAGCUCGCUGGGACGUGACUGACGCUGAGACGCGAAAGCGUGGGGAGCAAACAGG
rnacentral:rRNA from 1 species